AAACAUGGCUCUUUGAAUUAUUUUUAUAAAGAGUCAGGCCUGCCCAGUGAAAUUUACUUUAACGGCCGCGGUACUCUGACCGUGCAAAGGUAGCAUAAUCAUUUGCCUUAUAAUUGAAGGCUAGUAUGAAUGGUUUAACGAGAGCAGCACUGUCUCUUUUUUAUUUUCAAGAACUUAACCUUUAGGUGAAGAGGCCUAAAUUUUAUUGAAGGACAAGAAGACCCUGUCGAGCUUAAAAGACACUAUAGAAGUUUAUAUAUACCUAAAUAAAUUUCCUGUUAAGCUUUUUAGUUGGGGCGACUAAGGAACAAAAAAAGCUUCUUAAGUAAAACAAACAUUCAAGUUUUGAUCCGGUGAUAGCCGAUUUAAGGAAUUAGUUACCGCAGGGAUAACAGCAUAAUCUCUCUUGAGAGACCUAAUCGAAAGAGGGGGUUGUGACCUCGAUGUUGGACUAGAAUAUCCUAAAGAUGCAGAAGUCUUUAAGGGUCGGUCUGUUCGACCGUUAAAAUUUUACGUGAUC
rnacentral:rRNA from 1 species